GGAAUAUUGGACAAUGGGCGCAAGCCUGAUCCAGCCAUGCCGCGUGUGUGAAGAAGGCCUUCGGGUUGUAAAGCACUUUUGUACGGGAAGAAACCUUCAGGGCUAAUACCCCGGGAGAAUGACGGUACCGUAAGAAUAAGCACCGGCUCACUUCGUGCCAGCAGCCGCGGUAAUACGAAGGGUGCAAGCGUUACUCGGAAUUACUGGGCGUAAGCGUGCGUAGGUGGUUCGUUAAGUCUGCCGUGAAAGCCCCGGGCUCAACCUGGGAAUUGCGGUGGAUACUGGCGGACUAGAGUGCGGUAGAGGGUGGUGGAAUUCCCGGUGUAGCAGUGAAAUGCGUAGAGAUCGGGAGGAACAUCUGUGGCGAAGGCGGCCAUCUGGACCGCAACUGACGCUGAGGCGCGAAAGCGUGGGGAGCAAA
rnacentral:rRNA from 1 species